rnacentral:lncRNA from 1 species
AUGGCUGCCUACACACUGGUGCAGAUCCAGCAUGGCCAGAGUGCCUGGAACCUGGGGAACCGCUUGGGCCAUAAGGAGUGAAGUGCAGCAGGCAGGCAUUGCAAGAUGCUGGCUAUGAGUUUGACAUCUGCUGCACCUUGGUGCAGAAGAGAGUGAUCUGAACCAUCUGAACAGUGCUGGAUGCGAUUGACUAGACAUGGUGGCUUGUAGCAAGGACUUGGCGCCUCAGCACUAUGGGGGAACUGACUAACCUCAAUAAAGCAGAAGCUGCUGCCAAGCAUGGUGAGGCCCAGGAAAAGGUCUCAAGCCCUCCUAUGAUGUCCCACCCCCUCUCAUGGAGCCUGACCAUCUCUUCCAUAGCAAUGUCAAUGAGGACUCCAGGUAUGCAGAUUUCACCGAAGAUCAGCUACCCUCCUGUGAGAAUCUG